GGGACUGGCGAUCAGCAUAAUGAUAAUGUCAAACUGUCUCAAUUUUCCGCCGCCAAUCCGACGGCGCUGCUCAGACUACCAUGGCUCCAGUUUAUCUGUUGUCUCAGACAGAUGAAGCAAGGUGAAUAAACCUCCUGGAUCACAUGCCUCUGCCUUCUGUCUGAAGUCCAAAUUCUAUAUUGCAGUGCAAGCCAUAUGAAUAUCUUGCACUUGAGAGUAGCUUUGCUUUUCCAAAUUAGCUCCGAUCUUUGCCAGGCAUUGAGAUUCUCGCUGAGAUCAACAAGAACAGAAGGGAAAUAACAGGCGAACCUUAAGGUUAUGCGCUGGUAAAAGUGAAGUUAUUUGUGGUCCGGUCACAACUUUCUGUAAUGUUACGGUUUUAGGAUUGUGAACUUAAAUAUAUAUAAUAAUGAAAUAAUUCUAUUACUCUAUCAAGUAAUCAUUAAAUAAGGAUCAUGUUCGUUUUCUAUUUUAUAAAUGCACUUCCAGAUUAGUUACAGUCUGAAGCAACUGCGGUACCACUAUAUUAGCAGUAGAUGCAUGUCCUUCUAUAUCUAUUAGGUUUUGGUAAUGUGAUCACUUAUGCUGCAUGGAGCUUCAUUGAAGAGUACUUUUUAAUUCACUGUGAUUUUUUGCUUCUUAUUGUGGUAGUCUUGCUUGUGUUACCCAGUUAUUCCUCAUUCGAUUAACAAGCUUCUGACUUUGGUAUUUAUGACAAGACUGAUAGCUAAUCACAGUUAUUCAGGCAUUAUGUUUUGCGCAAGGCCAAGAAUGUUUUGUUGACAUCUGGUUUGCGUAUACCUUUUCUCAAGAAAACGGGAAGGCUUGACAGGUUAACAAUUUCUGUGAUACUACCCAUUUUUCGUGUUGGAGUGGCCACACCUUACUGAUUAAACUAGCUUCUUCCCUGUUCAGUGUCAGGGUGUUCUCUCUGGUACAUUGUUCUCUAGGUUCUUAAUGUUUCGCUUUUUGUUGUAAUUUAUUAGCCAUUUGUAGUAAAAAAAAUUACAUGUGAAACAUGGUCUGAUGAUUUAGUAUGCAGCUUUAUUAGAAAUUUCGCCUUACCAUUAAUUUUUUAAAUCUCUCUACAAUAGAUUGUGUGUGAUCUCCUCCCUCACAUGUCCCAAGAAUAAGUUCUGAUGUUCGGUACAUUCGUUGUAUCAGUUGCUUUGAGAGACUCCUUUUUAGAGGUUUUGAGAGGCUAUACAAUUUAUGUCAGUUUUCGUACAGAGAUUUUAUUUUGUACAUUAUUGAGAAAUGUACCUCCACACUACCCUGCUUCAUAGGAUUCUCUAACCUAGGUGUUAUAUAUGUCUAUAUCAUAUGUAGUUCUAUUUAUAAUAUAUCAUUGAGCGAUGUACACUCAUUUAUCAUAUGAUUUGUAUAUCUCUCCAGGGUCAGCUUGCCUCUUGGUUUGGUGGCGAGGUGGCCGAGCGGCCAAGCCAGUGCUAUUUUAUCUACUACGAAAACUUGCAUUGACAACUUCCACCUUCCACUAUAGUUUUGAACUAAUUCCCAUAUUUUUAAACUACAGAGAUAUUUUUUACAUCAAGUACAUUCCGUACAGCAACCUAUAGAUAGCUACAUCAUUUUAUCAUUUGCUUAGGCCUUAAACAUUAUAGCUUAAUAUUAAAUUUUCCUGCUAUCCGCGAAGAAAUAUAUGCCAUUUUUCCGAUUUUAGCGCGCAUAAGUUAAACUACAUUUACCUCAAAAAAAAAGUUAAACUACAUCAAUCAAAGGAAGAACUUAAUUUUGGAAAACUCUUUCAUUCCUUUCUUUCCAAGCAUGGAUGUAUGUUAUGAUGCCACUAGCAGCUCCUUCAAAUCCUGUCGUACAUUUAAUAUAGGUUUCCACCACUCAUAAAAAGAUUGGCUUGUUGUUGUAGGCGAAGGCACCACGAACAUUGUCGAAGCGAGCACCAAGUCUCGAAUCGCAGGUGUUCGAUGGAAAGGCAAGCGGGUUGCAUGGAAAUAUUAAUCCAUAGUUGCUAAAGAGAUGGACGAUAUCACGGAGCCAAGGAGAGAUGUUGCCCACUGGUGAACGCACUUGCUGCUGGAGAGACAGAGCCAAUUUCAAAUAGAUUUCUUGCCCUUCCCCUCAUGCAUUGUGCGGCAAAUUAGUGCGGCUAAUCGGACUGGGUUUCAGCUAGGGGUACGAGAGGCAAUUUCUCAACUAGGUGCUCAACUGCUUAUCUUAACAACCAUACUCUAUGGUAAUGAGUGAAGGAGAGGUGGUGCAGGGCCGUGUGAAGCAGCACUGGUGGCUACAUGUCGAGAACGGGAAGAAGAGACAUGUCUGUUAGUGAAUGCAUGUGUGAUCAAAAUAAUUUACAUGAGGUGAUCAAUGGUUACGACCCGAGUCUUUUGCAGCCACAUAUCAUGAAGAGCUCUCUCGUGAAUGACGAGAUCAUCUAUGUCAGUGAUGGUUGGUUCUCUGAAGAUUAUCUAUACAUGUAGGUAGUCAUGCUGAUAUACCUUGGUUUUCUUAUCGUACCUGAAAGUUCUUUGUCUUCAUAAUAGUAUAUAUUUAUACAUGUAGGUAGUCAUGCUGAUGUACCUUGGUUUUCCUAUCGUACCUAAAAAUUGUUAAGCUUUGUCUUCAUAAUAGUAUAUUUACUUUGUUGUGUGUUCUUACCAUAGUGCGAAUGCACUAUACUUCC